rnacentral:rRNA from 1 species
UACGGGGGGGGCAAGCGUUGUUCGGAAUUACUGGGCGUAAAGGGCGCGUAGGCGGCCUGUUAAGUCACACGUGAAAUCCCUCGGCUCAACCGGGGAACUGCGUGUGAUACUGGCGGGCUUGAAUUCGGGAGAGGGAUGUGGAAUUCCAGGUGUAGCGAUGAAAUGCGUAGAUAUCUGGAGGAACACCGGUGGCGAAGGCGGGUCUCUGGGCCGAUACUGACGCUGAGGAGCGAAAGCGUGGGGAGCGAACAGG